rnacentral:tRNA from 1 species
GGUUUCGUGGUCUAACGGUUAUGACUGCGGAUUCCGAUUCCGCCAGCGAGGGUUCAACUCUGUCCGAGACCU